AUCUUUGCGCUUGGGGCAAUGACGCAGCUAGUGAGGUUCUAACCGAGGCGCGUCUAUUGCUGGUUGAAAACUAUUUCCAAACCCCCUCUUAGGCCUGGGUUCAGCCUUGGCCUUCGAGAAUUUCUGGAAGGGCUCCCUUCGGGGUAAAGCC
rfam:Gossypium raimondii Chr13_contig_6, whole genome shotgun sequence.